AUUGAACGCUGGCGGCAUGCUUUACACAUGCAAGUCGAACGGUAACAGGCCGCAAGGUGCUGACGAGUGGCGAACGGGUGAGUAAUGCAUCGGAACGUGCCCAGUCGUGGGGGAUAACGCAGCGAAAGCUGUGCUAAUACCGCAUACGAUCUAUGGAUGAAAGCGGGGGACCGUAAGGCCUCGCGCGAUUGGAGCGGCCGAUGUCAGAUUAGCUAGUUGGUGGGGUAAAGGCCCACCAAGGCGACGAUCUGUAGCUGGUCUGAGAGGACGACCAGCCACACUGGGACUGAGACACGGCCCAGACUCCUACGGGAGGCAGCAGUGGGGAAUUUUGGACAAUGGGCGCAAGCCUGAUCCAGCAAUGCCGCGUGCAGGAAGAAGGCCUUCGGGUUGUAAACUGCUUUUGUACGGAACGAAACGGCCUGGGUUAAUACCCUGGGCUAAUGACGGUACCGUAAGAAUAAGCACCGGCUAACUACGUGCCAGCAGCCGCGGUAA
rnacentral:rRNA from 1 species